rnacentral:rRNA from 1 species
AUGGCGUGCGCCGGGCAGAUCCCGUGGGAGAUGGGGUUCAAACUGCUGCAGAGGGACGUUGCCCUGCACUACAAGACUGUGGCGGCCGUGCUGAAGCACUCUCGCCUACCUCACCUUGAUCCUUUCAGGGUUGGGUUCCAGGCGAGCGGGGUCAUCUGCUCCGGUACCAACCUCGACGCCUCUAGGUUCUGGUUCCUCAUCAACGAGCCCCCCGCCAUCAACGUGCAGGACGUGCAGGAUUCCCAUCCCACCACAAUGCCCCCUUCAACCCCGAACCAGUUUACUGAUGCGCCUCCACAACCUUAUGGGUUGCCACCGUCCGUGCAGCAGCUAGCAGCAGGGCCCAUUGUCGUUGCUCCGCAGUCCAGGUUGAUCUGCUUCCUGCUGUUUCUACUAUCGCUGAAACCAACUAGGACUUACUGGCCUCAAAACACCAAGGUUGGUUGGGCAAUCUGGUGCUUAUCUGCUGGGAUUUUGAAUUUAAUGUGUGAAAUUUCUGGUAGCUAUUUGGGGCCAUGUAGGCUCAAGCCUCACUUCAUCAGGUAA